ACAGGUGGUUUUGAAAGUCGAUUGUUAAAACCCAAGGCUUAACCUUGGACCGGCAAUGGAAACUUCUAGACUAGAGUAUGGUAGAGGUAGAUGGAAUUACCGGUGUAACGGUGAAAUGUGCAGAUAUCGGUAAGAACCCCGAUGGCGAAAGCAAUCUACUGGGCCAAAACUGACACUUAAGAACGAAAGCUAGGGGAGCGAAUAGGAUUAGAUACCCUAGUAGUCCUAGCUGUAAACGAUGGAAACUAAGUAUUGGAGAAAAGCAGUACUGUAGCUAACGCGUUAAGUUUCCCGCCUGGGAAGUAUGCUCGCAAGAGUGAAACUCAAAGAAAUUGACGGGGGCCCGCACAAGCGGUGGAGCAUGUGGUUUAAUUCGAUGCAACGCGAAGAACCUUACCGGGGAUUGACAUUUUGCGCAUUUUUUGGAAACGAAAAAGUAAAAACGUAAAAACAGGUGGUGCAUGGCUGUCGUCAGCUCGUGUCGUGAGACGUAAGGUUAAGUCCUGUAACGAGCGCAACCCUUAUCGUUAGUUGCUUUUAGGAAACUAGCGAAACUGCCAGUUAUAAGCUGGAGGAAGGUGAGGAUGACGUCAAGUCAGCAUGCCCCUUAAAUCCCGGGCUACACACGUGCUACAAUGGUUAAGACAAAGAGAUGCUAACUCGCGAGAGCACGCCAACCUCAAAAACUUAAUCUCAGUUCGGAUUGCAGGCUGCAACUCGCCUGCAUGAAGCCGGAAUCGCUAGUAAUCGCAGGUCAGCCAUACUGCGGUGAAUACGUUCCCGGGCCUUGUACACACCGCCCGUCACACCAUGGAAGCUGAUUGGGCCCGAAGUCGUUGUAUAACGCCUACGGCACAGUUAGUGACUGGGGUGAAGUCGUAACAAGGUACCAAUCCCGCGG
rnacentral:rRNA from 1 species